UACUGCUUUUUCUAUUAUUAUUAUUAUUAUUAUAUUUUAUUUUUUUUAAUCCUCCUGCCUUAGCAUCAUUGUAGCAGCUUUUUCAUACCCCCAUUUGCCUGCAUUCCUGUGGACAGCAUACUACACUCAGAAACCACUUUCUUCCUUUCUUUACCUCAGUCCAGAGAAGCUCACCCUAGCUUUUCCUUUUGCAAUAUUUUCCAAUAUUUUCCAAUAUUUCCAAUAUUAACCAAUAUUAACUUAUGAUGAUACUUUCUCAAUUUUUGCUUCACUUAGCAUUUCAUUUUUGUUAGACCCCAGGAACACGAACCUUUAAACUACAUCUUGCUUUAAUUCCAUUACACUUACUUCUUAACACAUGUGAUCCUAAUUCAGUACCCUUAUUUUUGGAACUUCCUAACUUUCCCAUGCAACUCAUUAGAUGUCAUUCAUCACUUUCUGACCCAUUUUUAUUUCCCUUUUUUUAUCCUUCUUUCCCUAUUAAGAGAAAAAAGCAAGCAAAAAUAAAAUAAAAGAAGAAACGGAGAGACAGAGAGAGAGGGAAAAAAUUUCAAUCAAAUAAGACCAUCAUUUAUUUUCUAUUAAGUCAUCAUGUGAAGUGGUCAACAGAAAAAUGUCUGUAUUAAGUGUUGGAAGCAUAUUGCAACAGUCACGCAGCUGAAGUGGUAUGUUUGCCUUGCAGGUGUCUGAUUUUAACAUUUGCUUUAGGGAGGGAAGACAAACAGAAAGCUGUAUGUGAAAAUGAGAAUAAAAAAUACCUUUUCCUUUAAAGUCUCAUCCUGUCAUGAAUGCUAAAUGCCAGUUUCCUUCUGAAAGCAAGCUUGGAACAGGCAGACAGCCAUUUCAGAGAGCUGCACGCUUUGUGGCAGCAGCAAAACUAGGAAAAUUCCCUGCAGCUCGAAACAGAAUAACAAAACCUCUAUCUGUCUAUCUGUCUAUGUUUACAUUAAUGUGAUGAUGAAAACAGCCUGUGCCACCUUUAGCUUGCAGGACAACAUGCCUUUUCCACUCCCCACAGAAAACAAUACAAGGAAUGAAGCAGCAGCACCAGAGCACAAACAAAAAACCCCAGCAAAGCAUGGGGAAAUGACUGAGUGAAACCCUCAGAAGUACCCAAGGAUUGUUUCAGCAGAGAAACACAUGUUGAGUAUGGUGACACGUGAAGAAACUGGCUAAAGACCAAGCUGGUGCCUGUCUUCUCUAUUUUCUCCUGAGAGCUGCAGGGAGCAAACAUCUUUCUGGUGGCAGAAAUACUUACCCUGAGGGCAGCAAUAAAUUAGGCCUCCAGCGCAGGGAAUGCUAGAGGACAUCCCCAAGGCAAAGAACUGCUACAAAGCAUUCCACCAUCAUUUCCCUAAGUGCUAAUGAGUAAUUACCCCUUUCCACCCCUCUGCCCUGGUGGGCGAGGCCCCUGCAGGAGGCUGCAGCCUGGCACAGGCCCUCCAGCAGCGGGAGAGAUGGGGCAAGAUUUUUCCUCUUGGAAACAGCUGCCUGGGAAAUGGUCUCCAAAGCGAGCCACACAAUGAAACAGAACUACGCUUCCCCUCUUGCAGUUAUUUUUCCGAGUCAUGCAGAUUCAUCAGCUUUAUGUUGGAAAGCCUCUCGAUGCUCGCCGGAGGUGGUACAGUGCUGAUGUGCCUCCACGCCAAAUAUGCGGAGAGAAUUCCUACUGUGAAAAAAAAAUGGGCUGAGGAGAGGACAAAGGAGCACACAUAUGUACUCCUAAUGAAAAUAUAAACCCCACAAGUCUGUGGGCUGAUAUGUUGGAAUCAUAUUGAUUCGACAAGUUCCUGCUGUCAGCAAGAAUGAAAAAGUCCGCCAAGUGGCAUGUGUAUGUGCUUACAAACAAUUUUUUAAAACCCCGUUAGAUUGCCUCAGGCUUCUGUUCUAAGGACAGCAAUGUCUUUAGCCCAAAACAUGUCCAAAAGCUUUGGCAGAGAGGAUCGUCUUACUAGCUUCAUAACUUGCAACUGCGCUUAACAACUGCUAAACAUAGCCCGCAUGUUUCAGUCAUGGACAGGAGGACCUCGGCCUCCUUGCUCAGUUGGUCACUUGGCCUAUGAAGACUUAAAGUUCCUGUUCAUAGGGUUCAUUAAGGGGUUUUCACUCAUACCUGUUUUUCCCUGCUGAACCGAAACUUGUUAACCCUUCUAAUUUCUUAACAAAGCUUGUAAUCUUAAUCCAAAGAUCAGCUCUGUGGAUCAUUACCAAGCUGUUUCCUUGACUUGUGCAAUGCAAUUCUUUCACCUUAAAGCUACUGAAAUCUAAAUUUCAGAAAAAAAAAAAAAGGCAUCUUUCUGUAAUCAGUUUAAGCUGCCAUACAUGAGCCCUGCAGCUGAUAAAAGAAACCCUGCUUUGCUCCCAGCUUUGGUGGUGAUUUUAACACUUGGAUUCAGUAUUCACAGCUCUGCUGUUCUGGGGCAAGGAGUCAGAGUCUGAAGCCUGUUCAGGACAUGGCCUUGGGUUCAAUGAAGCUGAGACUUAGUGACUUCACAGAAUUUCAGAUGGGAAAGCAGACGUGGGGGAGGACAAGAUGAAACCUCUCAGAUUUGGAUUCAGUUCAGAAUCUACUUCAGACGGCAAAUGAUAGAGAACUUUGGCUCUCCAUGAAACUAAGGUGCCCGCAGUUCUUUGGUCUCUUUGAAGUUUUAACCUGUGACUACUUGAAGGUCUCUCAACUUGGUGAUGUUAAUCUUUCCAAACUCUCCCAGUGAUACAUAAAUAAAGAGGUUUGAAAUAUUCUGCAUAAAAAGAAGAAAGACCAGAAGGUCAAAGGAUGUGAUUCUCCCCCUCUACUCUGCUCAUGUGAGACCUCAUCUGGAGUAUUGUGUUGAGCUCUGGGGCUCCCAGCACAGGAAGGACAUGGACCCAUUGAAGAGAGUCCAGACGAAGGCAACAGGAUGACCAGAGGGCUGAAGCACCUCCCCUAUGCAGACAGGCUGAGAGAGCUGGGACAUUCAGCCUGGAGAAGAUAAAUCUCCAGGGGUACCUUACAGUGGCCUUCCAGUACAUAAAGGGGGCUACAGGAAAGCUUGAGGGACACUCUUUGUCAUGGAGUGUAGGGACAGAAAAAGGGGUUGUGGCUUUAAACUAAAAGAGGAUAGGUUUGGAUCAGUAAGAAGGAAGAAAUUAUUUAUGAUGAGGGUGGUGAGGCCCUGGCACAGGCUGCCCAGAGAAGCUGUGGAUGCCCAUCCCUGGAGGUGUUCAAGGCCAGGUUGGAUGGGACUUUGGGCAACCUGGUCUGGUGGGAGGUGUCCCUGCCCAUCGCAGGGGGCUGGAAUUGGGUGGUCUUUAAAGUCCCUUCCAACCCAAACUAUUCUGUAGUUCUGUGAUUCUAUGAUACAUAAUUGUAAACACUGGAAAAGUCCAAAAGAUCCUAAAGAUUCACACUGGCUCUGGGGAUAACCUUGAGGAGAUCCUAAAGAAGGAAGCAAAGAGUAAUGGAAGUUAUCCCAGUGCUGACAUUUCCUCUCCACAUUCUUCCCAAAAAUAAAUGAAAAAGAAAACAAAAACAAAAACAACAAACAACAAACAACGAUUUCUGGAGCUUGUGAGUACACCCAGAAGCUGUCCUUAACUUUACCCCCUUUAGAGAAAAUUAUUAUGUCCUGUCGUACACUUUAUCACUGAAUAGCAAGAGAUGGUGCUGACCACUGUUAAGCAUUUUCUUGCUCUGUAAGUUAUUGAUUUUGUUUUUCACCAUACAAAAUCUCCAGUGAAGUAUACUUAGAAGAGUUGUUUUGGCUGGGUAAUUUCAUUGCCACACUUUUGCUGCAAACAGAUGAAUUAUUGGCGAUGUACAGUAGUAAAACACUUCUCUCAUCUUAGAGUAUUGCAAGAUACCAAAUGUGCUUAUGCAGAUAACAAAAGACAGGACAUUAUUCCAAAUGGGCUGAAGACAUCUUUGAUAUGAACUGAUAAAUUAGUCCUGAUAAGAGCAAACAGAACAGUAGUCCAAACAGAGAUAUUCAAUUACAUGAGAUUUUCAUUUGUCGAUACACUCUGACAGAUCCAUUUUAUAUGCCGAUAUCUUCUCAAAAUGGGAUUGGACAUUACUGACAGCAUGAAUGACAUCAAAAUAUUUUUCUGAUUUAUGUUGUUGACUUGGUUUAUAUAAGUCUUGUAAAUUUGCAGAGUUACACAUAUGCUAAUUUCAGAAAUGUAUUUGUAUAACACUUGUUUUUCAGGUUGUUAAUCCAAGACAUUAAAACAUAAUUGUUAAUCUGCUUGAGAGAUUUCUACAUAAUGUGUAUUUGGAUGAGGAACACAAUGUGAUCUCUGCAUGGAUAAAAAUUGCUGCCUCUUUCAGGGUGGAGAUGAAAAAUUCCUCUCAAAUCUGCCAAAACUUGCACCAGUGGUCUGAAUGGAGGGGUAUGAAGCUCUCAUGGCUCACACUUGCCCCAGAGUAGCAGCUCAGCCUCUCAGAGCAAUGCCCAGCUUUUCUGUCCAGCUCUGCCUGCCUGCCCUGUCACUGUUCAGCUUCUCCUUCCAAAGGAUUGCCAUGUAGCACCACAGGAACAUUGCUGUGCACAAACAUGCGGAACUAAGCACCAUGAAUAACAGCCCCAGGGGGAUGCUGGCUGCUGGGCCCAGAGAGAAGGGGGGGUUUCACCUGGACAUGCUGGAAACACUUUUAGGUUCAGGUAACAGCUGGUAGAAAUUUGUAAAUAACAUUCAAAAUGUUUCUCCUGGGCGUUUAAAGGAAAAGACUAGGUGAUGUAAGUAUUUGGGACAAAUGUAAUUGUGGAUCACAUGGGUGAAAAAAACAGAAUAAAAGUAAAGGGAAUAUUUUGGCAAAGGAAAAA